AGUGAACGCUGGCGGCGUGCCUAAUACAUGCAAGUCGAACGGAGUGGCGCACGGGUGAGUAAUAUAUAGCUAAUCUGCCCCUUGCUGGCGGACUACAGUUAGAAAUGACUGCUAAUACUCCAUAGCAAGUGCUGAGAAUCUAUAGUAUCAGCUAGUCGGGGGGGUAACGGCCUACCGAGGCUAUGACGCGUAACUGGUCUGAGAGGAUGAUCAGUCACAUUGGAACUGAGACACGGUCCAAACACCUACGGGAGGCAGCAGUAGGGAAUAUUGCGCAAUGGGGGUAACCCUGACGCAGCAACGCCGCGUGGAGGAUGACACUUUUCGGAGCAUAAACUCCUUUUGUUAGGGAAGCGGUACCUAACGAAUAAGCACCGGCUAACUCCGUGCCAGCAGCCGCGGUAAUAC
rnacentral:rRNA from 1 species